UUUGGAGAUCCAACCGUCGAAAU
rnacentral:snRNA from 1 species